rnacentral:rRNA from 1 species
GACGUAGGGGGCCAGCGUUGUUCGGAAUUACUGGGUGUAAAGGGUUCGUAGGCGGUGUGGCAAGUCGGGAGUGAAAUCUCUGGGCUCAACUCAGAGACUGCUUCCGAAACUGCUGUGCUGGAGUGUGGGAGAGGCGCGUGGAAUUGCAGGUGUAGCGGUGAAAUGCGUAGAUAUUGGGAAGAACACCGGUGGCGAAGGCGGCGACCUGGACAGUUACUGACGCUCAGGCACGAAAGCAUGGGGAGCAAAAGGG